rnacentral:rRNA from 1 species
GAUGAACGCUAGCGGCAGGCUUAAUACAUGCAAGUCGAGGGGUAGCAAGAUUGUAGCAAUACAAUUGUUGACGACCGGCAAACGGGUGCGGAACACGUACACAACCUUCCUACAAGUGGGGAAUAGCCCAGAGAAAUUUGGAUUAAUACCCCGUAACAUAGCGAUGUGGCAUCACAUUGCUAUUAUAGCUUCGGCGCUUGUUGAUGGGUGUGCGGCUGAUUAGAUAGUUGGCGGGGUAACGGCCCACCAAGUCUACGAUCAGUAGCUGAUGGGAGAGCAUGAUCAGCCACACGGGCACUGAGACACGGGCCCGACUCCUACGGGAGGCAGCAGUAAGGAAUAUUGGACAAUGGACGUAAGUCUGAUCCAGCCAUGCCGCGUGAAGGAUUAAGGUCCUCUGGAUUGUAAACUUCUUUUAUAAGGGACGAAAAAAGGUCUUUCUAGAUCGUCUGACGGUACCUUAUGAAUAAGCACCGGCUAACUCCGUGCCAGCCGCCGCGGUAAGAC